AGUGAACGCUGGCGGUAGGCCUAACACAUGCAAGUCGAACGGCAGCACAGUAAGAGCUUGCUCUUACUGGUGGCGAGUGGCGGACGGGUGAGGAAUACAUCGGAAUCUACUUUUUCGUGGGGGAUAACGUAGGGAAACUUACGCUAAUACCUCAUACGACCUACGGGUGAAAGCAGGGGAUCUUCGGACCUUGCGCGAUUGAAUGAGCCGAUGUCGGAUUAGCUAGUUGGCGGGGUAAAGGCCCACCAAGGCGACGAUCCGUAGCUGGUCUGAGAGGAUGAUCAGCCACACUGGAACUGAGACACGGUCAAGACUCAUACGGGAGGCAGCAGUGGGGAAUAUUGGACAAUGGGCGCAAGCCUGAUCCAGCCAUACAGCGUGGGUGAAGAAGGCCUUCGGGUUGUAAAGCCCUUUUGUUGGGAAAGAAAAGCAGCAGGUUAAUACCCCGCUGUUCUGACGGUACCCAAAGAAUAAGCACCGGCUAACUUCGUG
rnacentral:rRNA from 1 species